GGGAGUGCGGCGUGCUAUACAUGCAAGUCGAGCGGACAGAUGGGAGCUUGCUCCCUGAUGUUAGCGGCGGACGGGUGAGUAACACGUGGGUAACCUGCCUGUAAGACUGGGAUAACUCCGGGAAACCGGGGCUAAUACCGGAUGGUUGUUUGAACCGCAUGGUUCAAACAUAAAAGGUGGCUUCGGCUACCACUUACAGAUGGACCCGCGGCGCAUUAGCUAGUUGGUGAGGUAACGGCUCACCAAGGCAACGAUGCGUAGCCGACCUGAGAGGGUGAUCGGCCACACUGGGACUGAGACACGGCCCAGACUCCUACGGGAGGCAGCAGUAGGGAAUCUUCCGCAAUGGACGAAAGUCUGACGGAGCAACGCCGCGUGAGUGAUGAAGGUUUUCGGAUCGUAAAGCUCUGUUGUUAGGGAAGAACAAGUACCGUUCGAAUAGGGCGGUACCUUGACGGUACCUAACCAGAAAGCCACGGCUAACUACGUGCCAGCAGCCGCGGUAAUACGUAGGUGGCAAGCGUUGUCCGGAAUUAUUGGGCGUAAAGGGCUCGCAGGCGGUUUCUUAAGUCUGAUGUGAAAGCCCCCGGCUCAACCGGGGAGGGUCAUUGGAAACUGGGGAACUUGAGUGCAGAAGAGGAGAGUGGAAUUCCACGUGUAGCGGUGAAAUGCGUAGAGAUGUGGAGGAACACCAGUGGCGAAGGCGACUCUCUGGUCUGUAACUGACGCUGAGGAGCGAA
rnacentral:rRNA from 1 species